rnacentral:rRNA from 1 species
AGAGUUUGAUCCUGGCUCAGGGUGAACGCUAGCGGUGCGCCUAACACAUGCAAGUCGAGCGGUAGAUUAUCUAGCUUGCUAGAUAAUUGAGAGCGGCGAACGGGUGAGUAACACGUUGGUAUCUGCCCCCAAGUCAGGGAUAGCCAUUGGAAACGAUGAUUAAUACCGGAUAGUCUCUUAGGAGUAAAAAUUUAUUGCUUGGGGAGGAGCCUGCGGUCUAUCAGCUAGUUGGUAAGGUAAAAGCUUACCAAGGCUAUGACGGAUACCUGGUCUGAGAGGAUGAUCAGGCACAAUGGAACUGAGACACGGUCCAUACUCCUACGGGAGGCAGCAGUGAGGAAUCUUCCACAAUGGACGAAAGCCUGAUGGAGCGACACCGCGUGAAGGAUGAAGGCCUAACGGUUGUAAACUUCUUUUCUGAAGGAGCAUAAUGAGAGUACUUCAGGAAUAAGGGACGGCUAACUACGUGCCAGCAGCCGCGGUAAUACGUAGGUCUCGAGCGUUACCCGGAAUCACUGGGUGUAAAGGGUUCGUAGGCUGAGAGAUAAGUUGGAUAUGAAAGACCGAAGCUCAACUUCGUGUUUGUAUACAAAACUGUUUUUCUAGAAUUAGGGAGAGGUAAGCGGAAUUCUGUGUGUAGGGGUGCAAUCCGUAGAUACACAGAAGAACACCAAAAGCGAAGGCAGCUUACUGGAACUAUAUUGACGCUGAGGAACGAAAGCGUGGGGAGCGAAAAGGAUUAGAUACCCUUGUAGUCCACGCCCUAAACGAUGAUAACUAAGUGUUGCGACUAGCUCGCAGUGCUGUAGCUAACGCGUUAAGUUAUCCACCUGAGGAGUACGGUCGCAAGAUUAAAACUCAAAGGAAUAGACGGGGACCCACACAAGCAGUGGAUCACGCGGUUUAAUUCGAUAAUACACGGGAAACCUUACCCAGACUUGACAUCCUAAGAAUCUUCUAGAGAUAGAAGAGUGCCUUUAUUGGAACUUAGUGACAGGUGCCGCAUGGUUGUCGUCAGCUCGUGCCUUGAGGUGUUCG